GCAGUUUAUUAAGUGUAUAGUUUAAUUAACAGUGUUAAAGUACAUAUUUCUCACGAAUGUACACAACCGCGUAGUUUAUAUCACUGAGGAUAUACUAGUCAUCAUGUUGGAAAUGGAGAUGUUGUUUGGUUACAUCAACAUGAAGAUGAAGAACUGUUUAUGUGAGAUAAUUGCAGUCCCUCAUUUUCCUGGAUAACUACAUAAAUAUUUCCUGUCUUAUCUUACACAGUCAUGUACAAAAAAAGAAGAAGAAGAAGAAGAAAAAAAACAUCGGGACAGGACGGGUUUCAACGAAAUUCGACAUUUUAAUGUUCAUACAGUGGUUAGCAAAACAUAGGCUAUCAAAACGUUACUCCGUGGAACGUAGUUUAUAGUUAUUGAAAAGUAAUGAAAAGUGAAUAUCCUCGGAGCAGAUGACAGGCUUCCUUCACUUCCUGAUGGCGAACAGGGAUCACAUUUGUUUCAGGGUUUUACGGGAACAGGAUGCAGAUGUUCUGAGGAUCCGCAACGGUUCCUUGAGUCCAGAACCGGAGAACAAAGAGAGAUGGCUCAAGAUGUCUUAUGAGACUGAAAAAACUU